CGAACGGGUGAGUAACACGUGACCAACCUGCCUCGCACACCGGGAUAACUACUGGAAACGGUAGCUAAUACCGGAUACUAUCCGAACCUCGCAUGAGGAGCGGAUGAAAGCUUUUGCGGUGCGAGAUGGGGUCGCGGCCCAUUAGGUAGACGGCGGGGUAACGGCCCACCGUGCCUGCGAUGGGUAGCCGGACUGAGAGGUCGAUCGGCCACAUUGGGACUGAGAUACGGCCCAG
rnacentral:rRNA from 1 species